rnacentral:rRNA from 1 species
UGGGGAAUAUUGCACAAUGGGGGAAACCCUGAUGCAGCGACGCCGCGUGAGCGAAGAAGGUUUUUGAAUCGUAAAGCUCUGUCCUAUGGGAAGAUAAUGACGGUACCAUAGGAGGAAGCCCCGGCUAACUACGUGCCAGCAGCCGCGGUAAUACGUAGGGGGCAAGCGUUGUCCGGAAUCACUGGGCGUAAAGGGUUCGCAGGCGGAAAUGCAAGUCAGUUGUGAAAGGCAGAGGCUCAACCUCUGUAAGCAAUUGAAACUGUAUUUCUUGAGAUGUGGAGAGGCAAGUGGAAUUCCUAGUGUAGCGGUGAAAUGCGUAGAUAUUAGGAAGAAUACCGGUGGCGAAGGCGACUUGCUGGACACAAACUGACGCUGAGGAACGAAAGCGUGGGUAGCAAACAGG